rnacentral:misc_RNA from 1 species
AACGCACCUUGCACCCUCUCAUGGGGGGUAUACGUGUUUGAGAAUCGUAUAUGAAUCUUGUCUCUGGCUUGAGGCAGAAUUGAGUGCUGGUAAAAAGGCGCUUUAAAUGCAGUAGUGUAAUGCUGCGUUGGUCGCAUGGACACUGUGUGCUGGGACUGCUAGUCUACUCACGGUGCGUCCAUGCGGGGUGUGUGUGGUGUGCUCUGCGUGAGCCAUUCGCACUAGCCGACGUAGAGAGUGCGCUCAGUGUGUGUGUGGUGUGGUGCAUAUAUUAUAUUAUCAUCAUCACCACAUAUACAAUACACGAACACUGAUCUCAAAUCACGUAAGACUACCCGCUGAACUUAA